CAGAAGUGCGAAUGCUGACGUGAGUAACGACAAAACGGGUGAAAAACCCGUUCGCCGAAAGACCAAGGGUUCCAGUCCAACGUUAAUCGGGGCUGGGUGAGUCGACCCCUAAGGCGAGGCCGAAAGGCGUAGUCGAUGGGAAAAUGGUUAAUAUUCCAUUACUUCUGUGUAAUGCGAUGAGAGGACGGAGAAGGCUAAAUCAGCCUGGCGUUGGUUGUCCAGGUGAAAGGAUGUAGGCAUGUAUCUUAGGCAAAUCCGGGGUACUCUAUGCUGAGAUCUGAUAGCAAGCUGUACUUGUACAGCGAAGUGGUUGAUGCCAUGCUUCCAGGAAAAGUCUCUAAGCUUCAGUUACACAGGAAUCGUACCCGAAACCGACACAGGUGGUCAGGUCGAGUAGACCAAGGCGCUUGAGAGAACUCUGCUGAAGGAACUAGGCAAAAUGGUACCGUAACUUCGGGAGAAGGUACGCUGUUGUUGGUGAUGGAACUCGCUUCCUGAGCUGACGACAGCCGCAGAAACCAGGCCGCUGCAACUGUUUAUUAAAAACAUAGCACUCUGCAAACACGAAAGUGGACGUAUAGGGUGUGAUGCCUGCCCGGUGCUGGAAGGUUAAUUGAUGGGGUUAGCGUAAGCGAAGCUCUUGAUCGAAGCCCCAGUAAACGGCGGCCGUAACUAUAACGGUCCUAAGGUAGCGAAAUUCCUUGUCGGGUAAGUUCCGACCUGCACGAAUGGCAUAAUGAUGGCGGCGCUGUCUCCAGCAGAGGCUCAGUGAAAUCGAAAUCGCUGUGAAGAUGCAGUGUACCCGCGGCUAGACGGAAAGACCCCGUGAACCUUUACUGCAGCUUGACACUGAACUUUGACCUUACUUGUGUAGGAUAGGUGGGAGGCUUUGAAGCUGGAACGCUAGUUCCAGUGGAGCCGUCCUUGAAAUACCACCCUGGUAAUGUUGAGGUUCUAACUCUGUCCCGUGAUCCGGGACGAGGACCGUGUCUGGUGGGUAGUUUGACUGGGGCGGUCUCCUCCUAAAGAGUAACGGAGGAGUACGAAGGUGCGCUCAGCGUGGUCGGAAAUCACGCGUAGAGUAUAAAGGCAAAAGCGCGCUUAACUGCGAGACCCACAAGUCGAGCAGGUACGAAAGUAGGUCUUAGUGAUCCGGUGGUUCUGUAUGGAAGGGCCAUCGCUCAACGGAUAAAAGGUACUCUGGGGAUAACAGGCUGAUACCGCCCAAGAGUUCAUAUCGACGGCGGUGUUUGGCACCUCGAUGUCGGCUCAUCUCAUCCUGGGGCUGAAGCAGGUCCCAAGGGUAUGGCUGUUCGCCAUUUAAAGAGGUACGCGAGCUGGGUUUAGAACGUCGUGAGACAGUUCGGUCCCUAUCUACCGUGGGCGCUGGAAAUUUGAGAGGAUCUGCUCCUAGUACGAGAGGACCAGAGUGGACGAACCUCUGGUGUACCGGUUGUGACGCCAGUCGCAUCGCCGGGUAGCUAUGUUCGGAAGGGAUAACCGCUGAAAGCAUCUAAGCGGGAAGCCUACCUCAAGAUAAGAUUUCCCUAGGACUUUAUGUCCUCUAAAGAGCCGUUCGAGACUAGGACGUUGAUAGGUUGGAUGUGGAAGCAUAGUGAUAUGUGAAGCUGACCAAUACUAAUUGCUCGUGAGGCUUGACUAU
rnacentral:rRNA from 2 species